rnacentral:rRNA from 1 species
GGACGAGGAUAACCCUGGGAAACUGGGGCUAAUAAUCGAUAGAUGGAAGCGCCUGGAAUGGUCUUCCGUUGAAAAGUUUUCGGGAACAUGCUUCCGAAAGCGCCUAAGGAUGAGACUGCGGCCGAUCAGGCUGUUGGUGGGGUAACGGCCCACCAAACCUAUAACCGGUACGGGCCCUGAAAGGGGAAGCCCGGAGAUGGGAACUGAGACAAGGUCCCAGGCCCUACGGGGCGCAGCAGGCGCGAAAACUCCGCAAUGCGCGAAAGCGUGACGGGGUUACCCCGAGUGCCGUCCGUUGAGGAUGGCUUUUCUCUAGUGUAAGGAGCUAGGGGAAUAAAGGGGGGGCAAGUCUGGUGUCAGCCGCCGCGGUAAUACCAGCCCCCUGAGUGAUAGGGACGAUUAUUUAGCCUAAAGCGUCCGUAGCCGGUUUAGUAAGUCUUUCGUUAAAUCUGACGACUCAAUCGCCAGGCCGCGGAAGAUACUACUAGACUAGAGGGCGGGAGAGGUUGACGGUAGUCCUGGAGUAGGGGUGAAAUCCUAUAAUCCCGGGAGGACCACCAGUGGCGAAGGCGGUCAACUAGAACGCGCCUGACGGUGAUGGACGAAAGCUGGGGGAGCGAACCGGAUUAGACACCCGGGUAGUCCCAGCUGUAAACGAUGCGGGCUAGGUGUUGGUGCAGCUACGGGCUGCUCCAGUGCCGCAGAGAAGUCGUAAGCCCGCCGCU